rnacentral:rRNA from 1 species
UACGUAGGGUGCGAGCGUUGUCCGGAAUUACUGGGCGUAAAGAGCUCGUAGGUGGUUUGUCGCGUUGUCCGUGAAAUUCCCUGGCUUAACUGGGGGCGUGCGGGCGAUACGGGCAGACUGGAGUACUGCAGGGGAGACUGGAAUUCCUGGUGUAGCGGUGGAAUGCGCAGAUAUCAGGAGGAACACCGGUGGCGAAGGCGGGCUCUG